CUCUGUCCCUGUUCCAGCUCCACCCUCCCAUUUCCCUAUGUUCUCAUCCCCCACUCCUCGCCCUCCGCCCGCCCCCCACUCCCAGUCCGCUCAUGUAGAUCUCAUCCACUUCUCCUUUGCUACCCCAUACUGAUCACAGGAGACUGUUAGAAGCUUCUGCUCUUCAUUAAUUCAGGCCAAAGCAUGGCUGUGCCCAGAAGAUAGAACAGAGUUCUGGGGGUUCCUAGUGUGAAAUCACCCCCUGAUGUUUGAUGGCUCAGCCACACUUCAAAGUGGCUGGUUUUAAUGGGCUAGCAAAGGGGUUUUUAUUUCCCAAGGAGAGAGUCCCUUCUCUUCUCUUGUCUUUCUCUUUCUCCCCCUUCCCUUCCUCUUCCCGUUCCCUUCUCUUGGGUGUUGGGAUCACACCUCAUACCUGCUGGGCAAACACUACCCUGAGCUCCACUUCCUCAGCCCCAGGAAGGGAUUCUUUAUACAUUCUCUUUGUGAUGAUUGGUCAGUCUAAGGGCCCUACAGGAUAUUCACUGAUACCAUAAGCAUGUUUUGAGUACCUUCCCUGUUCUGGUUGUGUCCUGGCGAUCCCAUGGAAAAAACAUACAGUCUGGUCAGGGAUACAAAGCAAGAUACGGGUGGUAAAAUGAGUUUCUGUUUUAUUUGAGUUGGGAUGUCUCAGUUAACACUCUACAGUGUUGCCUUAGACUUGGACAUGCUUUCAAUUUAAGGCAAAGGGUCAUUAUAAAGAAGACCUAGGGAAAGAUGAGUGAGUGAAAAAAAAGAAAUAAAAAAAGAAGGGUGUGACUGCUCCUAGGUAUGAUGGAGGAGAAGGUUUAUCAUGGAUAAAAGGGAGAGCUUAUCCAGAGGCAGAGACAUCUAGGAGAGUGAAAAGUGAACGUGACCCUGAGCUGGGCAUUGUGAAGAGCCAGAAGAGGAGAGAGCCAGGAGAGUAAAGUAGACAAAAGGGCCAGGUAACCAAAAUGGCUGGAUUAUAUAGGGAAGGGCCGCUGGGGAAAGGGCAGCCCAGGCCCUGGGCUGGAGAAGUUUAGGGUAAGGGGUGAGGUAUGCCAUUCAUACCCUGCAACAGGUAAGGACUGAGGGAUGCUGGGAGAACCUGGCAACCAGGUCGGCCUGGAUAUGUUAAAUAGGCACCUUGCUUAGCCAUUUGUCCUGGGUUUGAAACCUAACAACAAGGACACAGAUUAAGUGACCCCAUGGCUUAUCCAGCCCCGAUAUUUAACCUCACCAAGCUUCUUACCUUUCUGUAAAGUGGGGAUAAUAACAUUGGCAUUAAAGGGCAUAGUAGGGGUUAAAUGAGGUGAUGUAGGCAAAAGCCAGGCAUGGUGCUUGGUUCACAGGAGCUUCUCAGCCAUUGCUUGCUAGAGUCAGGAGGAUAUCAAUAGAGACAGCAGACAGUAUACUAACUGCCACAGACAGAUAAGGGAGGAACCAAACAGUGGCUGCUAAGAGAAGAUGUCAGCUACCAAAGCCAUGUCCUCCAUAUAUCAGAAUACAAUUCCCAGCUUUCCUAAAAGUACUUAAAGACUUGAACUUUUCUUAAAUUCAUAAAAGGUGAGGUUGAAGCGAUGAGUGUGUAUGUAUGUGUGCAUGUGUGUGUGUGUUUUAAACUGAGCCCACACGCUUCUUUUUUCCUUCUCCUUCCUUUUCUUGAAGUCCAGAACAAUAAUCCUUGUUUAGAAAAUGUUUUAGCCAAAGCCUGUUUCAAUUUAAGAUAUUUCAGCGAGACAGUGAAUAACCAUUUAUCCUACUGAAGAUUUUUCAUUUCCCAGAAUUACUGGAACAAAGAUGCCAUUAUUAAAAUAUGCUCUUGAUCUCCCAUUGCAUGGUCUUGAUCGUCACAAAAGGAUCAUUCACAGUGGCUUUAUAAGAAUGGAAACUAUGGUAUCAUUAUCAUAUAGAACACUCUAUCAAAGAUCUUGAUUCGCAGAGACUGGGUUCUCUGCGAAGUUGAACAGACUAGCUGACUUCAGCAAAACAAAGGAUUAGCUAGAAGGCUGUGGUUUGCUUAUGGAUCCCUAGGGAAAGCUGGGUAAAAGAAAGAGAGAGAGAAACAAAACAAAAACAAUAAACCCAGGUUUCAGAAAGCGCAGGGCAGAUUGAAGAGCAGAGACAAAUGGACUCUCAAAUUUAAUUUCCUGUGAGAGAGAGAAUCUGAUUGGCUAAACUGGAGGCAGUGGAACCCCUUGACUGAUAGUCCCACCAGCCUUCUGAGAGUGGAGAGGGAUAGUUUACAAAGGCAGCUGAGGUGUGGCCACCAGUAGGAUGAGAUAGUGGGAAGAGUUACUUUACAGAGAGCUAAUGCAGGAGUCACUGAAGACGGAAUGAAAGGGGUUUAUCCCAGGAGCCACAGUUAGUGGCAGAAAUGAAAUCAAUCUCUCUCCCUCUCCCUCUCCCUCUCCCUCUCUUUCUCCCUCCCUCACUCCCUCACCUCCCUUCUCGUUACAAAUUGGAUACAGGGUUGUACCUAUUAGGUAAGCAUUCUACCACUGAGCUAUAUCUCUAGUCCAGAAACAAAACCUUCUGAUACAGCCAAAUGGGAAAUUUAAACAUUAUUCUUUUAUUUCCAGCUUGCCAAAACAAUGGUUUAGAGAUAUGGAAGAUUAGGAUUAUCUGUGCCACUUGUUAAAAUAAUGGAACUGCUCCCCAAGAGCCAUGGACCAUCUAACAAAAACCCCAGUGCCAAGCAUGCAAAACCCCACUUCCAGUUGUUUGUCAGAGGAGUCCAAGAGAUUCCCCAAAACAAUAGGGGCUAUGUCUGUUGCUCUUAGUUGCUUCCCAGAAGUUGAAGGAUCUAGAAUUACCAGAGACAGGCCUCCAGGAACACAUGUGACCAUAAAAGUAGGAACACCAUUUGGGCUUGGUUCUUAGACCGAAUAAAAAGGAGGAAGCUUCUUGAGAGCAUUCAUUCAUCUCCUUCUGCUUCCUGCUUCCUGGCUGUGGAUGUCACAUGAUCAGUGCCUCCAGCUCUGGCCACCAUGGCUUCUCCGACUCCAUGAUGUCCUGCACCCUCAAUCUUUGAACCAAAGUAAGUUUUUGUUGUUGUUGUUGUUAUUAUUAUUAUUAUUAUUACAGAGAUAAGUAAUUAAAAUAAUGGCUAAAAUCCAUCUAAUCCUAUUCUACUUAUGCUUGGAAAUACUUUCCAAGACAGAGAGUUGAGGGUUUCCCUUGCUUUCUCCUUCUAGCCCUCCUUACCUUAAGUCUCACUAAUUUCUACCCAUUAAUCCUUAAGUCUCUUUCUUAUAUGUAGAGGGCCAUUCCUUUUCCUGCUUCAGAUUGAUAUCACCUGUGGCCACUGUCACACUUUCCCUAUUAUUCUCCCUGCCUCUAAGUACGUAUGGCAUUGCACCCCUCUGAUUCUUAGGCUUUCCAUCAGCAUUAACCCCAAAUCAUGCUCCUUGGUUUGCUAAUAGGCCCUCUACAUCCUGCCCUCCGCACCCCCUUCAGCAGCACCUCUAAGUCAGCUGACUCACGUGUGUGUGAUUUUCUGCAUAUAGCACAUGGCUCAUGCCACUAUGGCUUUGCUCAUACUUUACCCAGUGUGGCAGGCGACACCCCCUAUAUCUCAAUUUCUGCACAUGACAUAAGCCUUAGUCGAGGUACCAGGUCUUCUAGAAAGCCUUGCAAAUUCUUCAAGUUGAUCUGGAUUCCCCAUAGCUAGCUAGCUUCCAUGGCUCUUUCUCUUGAGCCCCCCAACACUGCCCCCCAUCCCGGUCUCACACACAUGUCAUUGCACUAUGUAGAUCAGGUUUCCUGGCUACCAUGUAGCCUUCCUUGUAGUCAUGGGAACAGUGGGUUCAUCCAUGAGUGUUGGUGUUUAGUGCUACAUGAAACAUAGGAGGAUUUUGAGAAGUAUCUGCUGAGUGAAUUAACAGUUAAAACUGUAAGUCUGUGUUUCCUCCUAGAGCUUAUUUUAUAACCAUAGGUCAAGGUUACUAUAAAGUUCCUCUUGGCUUUGAUGCUUUCCUCAGUAUGAAAAGGGGGUCCCCUAAUGUACUAUAGGAGCUAAAGGGGAUUUUGUUGUAUAGCAGUUUCCUCCUUGAUUCAAACAUUCCGUCAUGUAAGUUCAAGACCAGCUUGAGACUGUCUCAGUUUUCUUCCUUCUUCCUUCUUGGUGCCAUGGAGUCACUCAGUUUGUGCAUGUUCCCUCUGUUCUCCCACUCCCCUCCACCCCAGAAAUCCAAGUCCCUGUGGGUCAAGACUUCACACCUAGACCUGCAGGACAUGAAGUUUGGUCUCUAUUUUUCCUACUUAGGGUAGCUGUGAGACCUGUUCACCUUCCAUCUACACUUCUAAGCAGAGCUUGAGGCACUGAAUGUUUGCCAAGCUGCCUAGUCAGGAAACAGUUCAUUCUUUAUUCACGGGGGUGUUACCUGGAAUUGACAAUUCAUGGGCGCUGUUCUAGGUGCUGAUGGUACAUCUGCAUCCACGCAGCACAUAGAUCUAGCUUGUCUUUGUGAACGAGCGGCUCGAUUGAGAAGGCAGGAGGAUAUGUCUGAAGAGUUACAUCCCAAUGUCUCCAGGAUACUGAGCAAAUCUUUUUAGCAUCCUAAAUGGAUCCUGUUCCUGGUUCUUACAGCUCAUAGCUUACUAGAACAAUCAAAGACAUCUACCUCCGAUUCUGCUUUUAUCUGAGCACCAACCUUUAUCAUGCAUAGUAUGAUCCAGUUCUUUUAAAAUUUAUCUAAUUCCAUUCAAGGCAACAAAAGAGAACUGAAAGUUAUCAAAAUUUACCCUUCAAUAAUGUGGUUAGUUGCUAUUUCAUUGUGCUAACAUUUUUUUUUCCAAACACAACACUUGAAAAUACUGAUCCAAGUAGCAAUUUAUGAGCAUCUAUCAUCGAAACUUCAUACAACUGUCUGAGAAAGGCCAGAUUAUUGCCCCAUUUUACAUUUACAAAAGCCAGGGACUUAGAUUAAUUGCCCCAGGUCAUCACAUAGACAUGAAUUAGCAGAGUUGUAAUUGAAGACGAUCUCUGUCUGACACUUACUAUGAUGCUUUUAGUAUUACUCUGAAAGAGACAAGAUAAUGAUACUCUAACUACAGCCUUUAAAUGCUACAUUCUAUCAGGUGUGGUGGCACAUUCCUCUAAUCUCAGCACUUGUGAGGUGGAGGCAGGAAGGGUAGUCAUAGUAGUUCAAGGAUAGUCAAGGCUACAAGGCUAGCCUGGGUUAUACGAAACCUGCCCCCGCCCUCCAAAUACCACACACACACACACACACACACACACACACACACACACACACACACACAAAUGAAUAAAGAAUAUAUUCUUCAUCUUUACCAACUUAUUUACAGAAAAGAAACAAAGCUUAAAGACUCUAGGCUGUCUGUAUAGAAGAAUAAUCUUUGGGGCAUUUCAAUGACAAAUCUGCUUUAAUUGUGUCAUUUUCUAAGAACAUUAUAAAUAGACAUCUAAGCAAAUUAUUUCAUCCAGUGAAGAAAAAACUAUUUUUAUAAGAAUGAAAUAUUUUAGUUUCAUUACUUAUUUCAGUAUAAAAAUGAUUUUUUUUUUGGCCAGGCAUGGUGGUACAUGUC